AUGGAGAUUGGGAUGAGCUGGGUUUUCCUUAUUGCAAUUUUAAAAGGUGUCCAGUGUGAGGUGCAGCUGUUGGAGUCUGGGGGAGGCUUGGUCCAGCCUGGAGGGUCUCUGAGACUCUCCUGUGUGGGAUCUGGAUUCACCUUCAGUGACUACUACAUGAACUGGGUCCGCCAGGCUCCAGGAAAGGGGCUGGAGUGGGUUGGUGUCAUUAGAAACAAAGCUAAUAGUUACAGCACAACAUACGCUGAAUCGGUGAAAGGCAGAUUCACCAUCUCAAGAGAAGAUUCCAAAAGCACUGUCUAUCUGCAAAUGGACAGCCUGAAGUCCGAGGACACAGCCGUGUAUUACUGUGCAGGUUCAGGAGUUGGGCUCAACAGUGGUGAAGCCCUUGGAGAGACUCUCCCUUACUUGUGCUAUUGCUGGAUUCUUUAUCACAACCAGUGGUUUCUGCUUUGA